CUACGGGCCGCUCCAGUGGGGAAUAUUGGGCAAUGGAGGAAACUCUGACCCAGCGACGCCGCGUGAGGGAUGAAGGCCUUCGGGUUGUAAACCUCUUUCAGCAGGGAAUAAGCGAAAGUGAAGGUACCUGCGCAAGAAGCACCGGCUAACUAUGUGCCAGCAGCCGCGGUAAUACAUAGGGUGCAAGCGUUGUCCGGAAUUAUUGGGCGUAAAGAGCUCGUAGGUGGUCGAUCACGUCGGAUGUGAAAUUCUGAGGCUUAACCUCGGACCUGCAUUCGAUACGGGUUGACUAGAGUGUGGUAGGGGAGACUGGAAUUCCUGGUGUAGCGGUGGAAUGCGCAGAUAUCAGGAGGAACACCGAUGGCGAAGGCAGGUCUCUGGGCCAUUACUGACACUGAGGAGCGAAAGCGUGGGGAGCGAACAGGAUUAGAUACCCUAGUAGUC
rnacentral:rRNA from 1 species